rnacentral:rRNA from 1 species
UACGUAGGGUGCAAGCGUUAAUCGGAAUUACUGGGCGUAAAGCGUGCGCAGGCGGCUUUGCAAGACAGAUGUGAAAUCCCCGGGCUUAACCUGGGAACUGCAUUUGUGACUGCAUGGCUGGAGUGCGGCAGAGGGGGAUGGAAUUCCGCGUGUAGCAGUGAAAUGCGUAGAUAUGCGGAGGAACCCCGAUGGCGAAGGCAAUCCCCUGGGCCUGCACUGACGCUCAUGCACGAAAGCGUGGGGAGCAAACAGG